UACGUAGGGAGCAAGCGUUAUCCGGAUUUACUGGGUGUAAAGGGCGUGCAGGCGGGCUGGUAAGUUGGGAGUGAAAUCCCGGGGCUUAACCCCGGAACUGCUUUCAAAACUGCUGGUCUUGAGUGAUGGAGAGGCAGGCGGAAUUCCCAGUGUAGCGGUGAAAUGCGUAGAUAUUGGGAGGAACACCAGUGGCGAAGGCGGCCUGCUGGACAUUAACUGACGCUGAGGCGCGAAAGCGUGGGGAGCAAACAGG
rnacentral:rRNA from 1 species